UUUUAAUAUUUUUUUUCUUUUCAAAAAUGCUAAUCCCUAUUAAUAUAAUUCUAAUCACAUACUAACAAUAUCAAUAAUUCAACUUUUAUUAGUAUAAAUCAUAGCCGUAUAAUUUAUAUUUUAUUUUCUAAUUAUCAUAAAAUGUAUUAAUUUUUGUGAUCUAAUACAAUGGCCGACCAAUUAAGUAUCUAUCAUUUUUUUUUUAUAUAAAUUGUCCUCAAGCAGUACUUAUUAAAUCCGACCUUUUAUAUAUCUAUCUUAUCUCCUAACAUAACAUCCAUAUUCCAUCUUAUCUAAUAAUAAUUCUCUUUACAAUUCAUACUUAUCUAUACUAUAUAUAAAAGCAUAUAAAAAUUAUAAUAAUGACAUACAAAAUUAAAAAAGAAAUAUAAAAAAUUUCAUGCCAAUGUUUAUGAUUAAUUUGUUAAAAAAAUAUUUCAAAUAAAAACGAAUGGUUAUGAUCAAUCUAUUAAAAAAUGGCAUUCUUAUUUAUCAAUAUAUCAAAAUUUACGAAUGGUUAUGAUUAAUUUGUUAAAAAAUAUUUUAAAUAAAAAUAAAUGGUUAUGAUCAAUUUAUUAAAAAAAAUAGCAUGCCUAUCCAUAGAUUUUACAUUAAAAUUAAAAUUUGAAUUUUAAUCAUAAAUCAU
rnacentral:lncRNA from 1 species